GGCUGCAGAACAUGACAGGAAUCAUUUUUCCGAAAAUUAGGAUUCCAGUAAAAAUCCUCAUCUCUAUAGCCGACUCCCCAGUGCAUAGAAACAUCCUCAACAUCCUGAUGGCGGCCAUGAAACGUCACCAUGAGGAUACUUUGGUAACCGAUAGGUUCUCAUCUUCCCACCUUCUGCCCUCUAUGUUGCCUCCUCUGCUGACGGUGGUAGGGCACGGAGUCCAGUCACUAUAUGGGGUGACAAGACAGUCUUUUCGGCAUGGCAGCAAGCAUGGCCUCAUUGUCUCCGGGCGAAGACUUUCAGGACAUCUAAACAACAAAAAAU